rnacentral:rRNA from 1 species
UGUACUGAUUCAAAAUUUAACACGAAGUGAGUGGCGAACGGGUGAGUAACACGUGGGUAACCUGCCCAGAAGUAGGGGAUAACACCUGGAAACAGAUGCUAAUACCGUAUAACAGAGAAAACCGCAUGGUUUUCUUUUAAAAGAUGGCUCUGCUAUCACUUCUGGAUGGACCCGCGGCGUAUUAGCUAGUUGGUGAGGUAAAGGCUCACCAAGGCAGUGAUACGUAGCCGACCUGAGAGGGUAAUCGGCCACAUUGGGACUGAGACACGGCCCAGACUCCUACGGGAGGCAGCAGUAGGGAAUCUUCCACAAUGGACGCAAGUCUGAUGGAGCAACGCCGCGUGAGUGAAGAAGGGUUUCGUCUCGUAAAGCUCUGUUGUUAAAGAAGAACGUGGGGUGAGGAGUAACUGUUUACCCAGUGACGGUAUUUAACCAGAAAGCCACGGCUAACUACGUGCCGGCAGCCGCGGUAAUACGUAGGUGGCAAGCGUUAUCCGGAUUUAUUGGGGCGUAAAGCGAGCGCUGCCGGUCUUUUA